AUACGUAGGGUGCGAGCGUUGUCCGGAAUUACUGGGCGUAAAGAGCUCGUAGGUGGUUUGUCGCGUCGUCUGUGAAAUUCCGGGGCUUAACUCCGGGCGUGCGGGCGAUACGGGCAUAACUUGAGUACUGUAGGGGAGACUGGAAUUCCUGGUGUAGCGGUGAAAUGCGCAGAUAUCAGGAGGAACACCGGUGGCGAAGGCGGUUAUCUGGGCAGUAACUGACGCUGAGGAGCAAAAGCAUGGGUAGCGAACAGGAUUAGAUACCCUGGUAGUCCAUGCCGUAAACGGUGGGCGCUAGGUGUAGGGGUCUUCCACGACUUCUGUGCCGUAGCUAACGCAUUAAGCGCCCCGCCUGGGGAGUACGGUCGCAAGGCUAAAACUCAAAUGAAUUGGCGGGG
rnacentral:rRNA from 1 species